rnacentral:rRNA from 1 species
UACGUAGGGGGCUAGCGUUAUCCGGAAUUACUGGGCGUAAAGGGCGCGUAGGCGGCCCGCUAAGUCGAACGUGAAAUCCCCAGGCUCAACCUGGGAACUGCGUCCGAUACUGGCAGGCUUGAAUCCGGGAGAGGGAUGUGGAAUUCCAGGUGUAGCGGUGAAAUGCGUAGAUAUCUGGAGGAACACCGGUGGCGAAGGCGGCAUCCUGGACCGGUAUUGACGCUGAGGCGCGAAAGCUAGGGGAGCAAACGGG